rnacentral:rRNA from 1 species
GACGAACGCUGGCGGCGUGCUUAACACAUGCAAGUCGAACGGAAAGGCCCUGCUUUUGUGGGGUGCUCGAGUGGCGAACGGGUGAGUAACACGUGAGUAACCUGCCCUUGACUUUGGGAUAACUUCAGGAAACUGGGGCUAAUACCGGAUAGGAGCUCCUGCUGCAUGGUGGGGGUUGGAAAGUUUCGGCGGUUGGGGAUGGACUCGCGGCUUAUCAGCUUGUUGGUGGGGUAGUGGCUUACCAAGGCUUUGACGGGUAGCCGGCCUGUGAGGGUGACCGGCCACAUUGGGACUGGGAUACGGCCCAGACUCCUACGGGAGGCAGCAGUGGGGAAUAUUACACGAUGGGCGGAAGCCUGAUGCAGCAACGCCGCGUGCGGGAUGACGGCCUUCGGGUUGUAAACCGCUUUCGCCUGUGACGAAGCGUGAGUGACGGUAAUGGGUAAAGAAGCACCGGCUAACUACGUG